CGGAACAUAACUCAGUGGUAGAGUGGCGGCCUUAUAAGCCGCAGGUCCCUUGUUCGAUUCAAGGUGUUCCGA
rnacentral:tRNA from 3 species